CCUGCUCUCUCUCUAUACCCUUUUUUCUGACUAACUCAUUCAUUCCUUCUCAUGCUUUGUGGAUGCAAAUCAGGGGAAUUCCUGCCUUUGUAUCCAAUCUCCCUGUCCGUGCCGCCUCUCCUCUUAUCCCUAUAUCCAGGACCCUCCAAAGCCGGUCUGUCUCAGCUCCAUUAGAAAUGUGGUGCUCUGUGGCUCUGGUUGUCUGUGGAUUCUCUGCUUUGGUCCAGGUGUCGAUUCAGGGCCCUCACCAGAGAACCUUGUUGAAGAACCUUCUGAAGGACUACAAUCGAAUGGAGAGGCCGGUGGGCAAUGAUUCACACUCCCUCACAGUCUUCUUCACUAUCAGUCUGAUGCAGAUCAUGGAUGUGGAUGAGAAGAAUCAGGUCCUCACCACUAACAUCUGGCUUCGGAUGAGCUGGUUUGAUCAUUAUCUUCAGUGGAACCAGACUGAAUACCCUGGAGUGAAAAACCUUCGGUUCACAACUGACCAGGUGUGGACGCCAGACAUCCUCCUCUACAACAGUGCAGACGAUGACUUUGACUCCACCUUCAAGACCAACGUGUUGGUCAACUCCAGUGGCUUCGCGGAGUAUCUCCCUCCAGGGAUUUUCAUGAGCACAUGUAACGUGGACGUACGUUGGUUCCCCUUCGACAUCCAAAAGUGUGAGAUGAAGUUUGGCUCAUGGACGUACGAUGGCUGGCUGAUGGACCUACAAAUGAACGAGGCCGACAUCUCUGGUUACAUGUCCAACGGGGAAUGGGACCUAGUGGGAGUGCCAGGCACUCGUAGCGAGGUGUUCUAUGACUGCUGUAAGGAGCCCUACCCCGAUGUGACGUUCGUUGUGACCAUCCGCCGGCGCACUCUCUACUACGCUCUAAACUUGCUCAUCCCCUGUGUGCUGCUGUCCUCCAUGACCCUACUUAUCUUCCUACUGCCUGCCGACUCUGGGGGAGAAGAUCUCUCUGGGCAUCACUGUGCUGCUCUCGCUCACGGUCUUCAUGUUGCUGGUGGCAGAGAUCAUGCCAGCCACUUCAGAUUCCAUCCCUCUCAUAGGACAGUACUUUGCUAGUACUAUGAUCAUUGUUGGGAUGUCAGUCAUAGCUACAACGGUGGUGCUGCAGUAUCAUCACCACGACCCAAACGGAGGCCAGAUGCCCAAAUGGGUUAAUGUGGUCCUACUGCAGUGGGUAGCAUGGUUCCUACGUAUGAAGCGCCCAGGGGAGAGUGAUGACCCAGAGCGACCACCCUGCGCCCCCCACCUACGGCGCUGCUCUUCAAGCUCCCAAAGCGGUAGCAUCCCUAACCCUCCAGACCCCACGCUCAACCCACUGCACCCCCAGAACCUGGCCCCUCUCCAGGCUGGCCCCCUGCACGCAGGUCAACCCCACCUUCACGCCCAGUCCAGCGCCAACAACAACGGAAAUCUGCUCUACAUCGGCUUCCAGAACCUGGACGACCCCCCACUGCUCCCAGACCACAUCCAGAGAUACAGCAUCUCAGCCGGGCCUCCUCGAGUAGCAGGCAGCCCCCCUCCACCACCCCCCACCCCCAACGAGGACACUGUGGGCUGCCCUAGCACCAUUUCCAGUGGCGGAGGCUUUGGAAUAGGGGUUGGAGGACAGUACUCGGGAGGGGGUAUAGGUGAUCCCCAGCUCCAGGCUAUUCUAGAGGAGGUGCGUUACAUGGCGGACCGCUUCCGUGAACAGGAUGAGACGGAGAGCGUGGCCGACCAGUGGAAGUUUGCGGCAGCUGUCAUUGACCGGCUCUGCCUGGUGGCCUUCAGUAUGUUCAACAUCAUCUGCACCAUCGCCAUCCUCAUGUCCGCUCCCAACUUUGUGGAGGCCGCCUCCAAGGACUUCUUCUGAGGAAGAAGAGGAUGGGGCAGAGGAGAAGAGAAAGAAUGAGGGAGAAGAGAUGUAGGGGAGAAAGGAUGUGGAAUGAUUUGGGGCUUAGUCCAAGAGGGCUAUUGUUAGGGACCCUCCUGUCAAGAUGAGGGGGGGUUCUUUGGAGAUGACUAUAGAACAUCUCAAGAUGUUCUCUUGAAGUCUAUCAAUGACCUCUGAUGAAAUGGAACAGGAUGGGGCGCGAUGAGUUUAUGGGCGAAGAAUCCAAAAGGGCAUGGUUCAACGACUGUACAGGGUGAAGUUGAACAGGAAGGGCAAUAGAAAAGUGGAGCAUUGGAUAAUUCAACCUGAGAUUGGGAAGAUUGCAGUACUUACAGAAAGAGAGAGAGGGAAAUAGACAGAUGGAUAGGGCUGUUUUAUUUGAUGUCAAAUCCCAGAAAAGAAAAAAAAGGCAAAGAAAGACUGCAUCAUGUACUGAAACAGGGGACCAGGAGGGAGGGGGAGAGACUGCCUUUUACAAGGAAAGACAAGGAAAGAGUGUGUGAACAGACAAGAGGUUUUCCCUGGUGACAGUGAAGGUGGGAGGGUCAAACAAACUGAACUUGGCCUUGUCUCUGAGAUAGAAAGAACAAAGCGGAUUAGAGGAAUGGAAAUAAUAUCUAAUCUUUCAUUCUGGCAUUUGUUUCAUGGGCAUCAAAUUGAAAGGCCUUAAAUAACAUGCAGCCGAUUUCAGAUCAGUUGAGGCACCAAAUGAAUUCCCAUUUAACAGCCCCAUUUCCUUCCCCAGGCCUGAUCUGUCAGUGGGUUGCCAGUGUAUACCAAUCUCCACUUUUUGUUCUACGGUGUGUAGCGCUCCUUGUGAUUGGGCAACUGCAUUAGUGUGUAAUCAGUGUAAUUGCCAGUAAUUGUGUUACGGUGGAGGGUCGAUCAAAUAAUGACCCAUCAAACAGUCACCUAAUAGAAUUUGGCAGGUCCUAAUAGAGAAGGCUGAUCUCAUUGAGCUCCAAAGUGAAAUCUUAAUAUACUGUAUGCGAGGUCAGCAACUUUAAGAGGAAUGUGAAGGAAAGUGAUCCUCAAACCUCAAGAUGAACACACAAAUGACUUGGAUGAUUGGAAUGACACUCAUUUUUAUAUUGCACAAUAUGGUUGACAAUUGAUGGGAGUUUUAUUUUUUGAUAUUUUCAUAUUUUCCAAAUUCAACAUAUACUUACUAAAAUAUAUUUCCUAUCGUUAUUUUAAAGACCUGAGACAGCUCCUGGAAGAUCUCACAUCUCCCGCUCACUCUACAAACUGACGCAUCUCCUCCCUUCAGUGGAAACCUCAAGCUGGGAGUUGGACUGACUUUCUGGCACACACAUGUAUAGAAACAUUUCCCAUCCCGAAAUAAAGUAGUAUUUUUCUACCAUCCUUGCCUUCCUCAACAGACACUGGUGCUGAUAUACGCAAGAGAAAAAUGACAGAGGGGCAGAGAAAGUGCUGACACAGCGCGCGCCGGACAGGGUUUUAAUUGAUUACUCCUUCAGGAAGAGAGGAGGGAGGAAGGAAGGAGGGGGUAGACGGGCCAUGCUCGGUAAUUCAAUGGAUUUAUAAGAGAGGACCAGGGAAAUAGCCACUCGACAAAGCAUAACUCAGUCAUACAAUAAUGCAAAAUAUGUAGUAUAUUAAUAGUACAUUUUGGUAAAUGCACAUUUUCAAUGUCAAAUGGGUUAGCAUCUAUUGACUAGGAUGCUCAUUAUGAGUCUCUGACAUUGUGUAAGUUUCAGGUAUAUGGUUCUCUCUCCAGUCCAUACAGUAUGUUUUAUUCUGUCAGUAUAAUCAACACUCUGGUUCUCUUUCACUCGCUCUAUUCAUCUCUUUUCCCCCUCCCAUUCAUCUCUAUUUUUCUUUCUCUCUCCUUCUAUGUGUGUGUAGUCAGUGUUUGAGUUUUUAGCAUGUUACUCAGUGUCAGACGGAUGGAGAGGCUAUAUUUAUAGAGGCUGUUCUCCUACUGCAGGUCGUCUGACUGGGUAAUUCUCUCUUUCUAUCCUCUUUCCGAGGCACUGGGGUCGGCAAAUGUGCAGCGUUGGCACUCUGAUCUCCGAGAUUUACUGGGUUCACUCAGAUGGAAAAAGAAGAGAGUAGAUGAGGGGAAAAUGUGUGUGUGUGUCCGUGCUGUUUGUGUGUAGAGGAAUGUGUGCUUGCGUGUAUAAGCUUUGAAUCAGUUGUUUUUUCUGUCUCUCAGUUGAUGAGCAGUUGGAGCCAAGGCCCUCUCCGCAGCGAGAGAUUUUUCUCAAGAAGGCCAAUACAAGUGUACAUGUCUAGAAAGAUUGUUUUGAGUGUGAAUGGGCGCUGCAAUUUCACAUUAAAAAGGCACAUUACUGCAGUGCACGGGCGGAAUGAAAACCUACAGCUUGAAUAGAGACCUAAAACACAUGCCUGUGGCAGGCACACUUAAAUAAACUCCAGUCACACACAACUGUUAAUACUGCACACACACACACACACCAUUUACAUAGCACACACACGGCUUGUAGGUCAACAACCUUAUCAAUUGCACCCUCUCAGCACCCCCCACCGUUUGCUCAGUUUCCCUAAGACAGUUCUGUAUAAUACGACCAUAUUCUCAAUGUGCGGCUGAUCAAUGCCUUUUCAUUACCGGCUGGACGGAAGCGCUGACGUGAGGUAGAGUGCGGCAGACCUGCUCAGGACCGUGAUUAAUGCUUGUACCCGCCCAGUCCCACCUGGGGACGCAUCGUUAGCCUUGAUUAAAUAUGAGUCCCAAAUUAUGGCUCUGGUCAAAAGUAGUGAACCAUAUAAGGGUGCCAUUUGAAAUACAACCUAAGCCUGCCAAGCCACAUUCACUCACCGAGCUGAGUGUCAUUCAGCUGUCCCAGACCUCUGCGGUCACAAGGUCAAGUGGCCAGCUGGUCGCGGGCGAUUAGUGAGCCAACGAAGGGACUGUAGUCUGGCCGGAAGUCAAAAUUGGGCAGUUUCCGAGGUGGACUGAAACAUGGGUCAGUUGAUUUUUAUACUGCGUGUCUUUGUUGAUUAAGAACAUUAUUCUUUAGGUAGAAAUGGACUUGCAGAUGGAAUCUCAUCUGGAACAGCUAGGUUGGUCAGGGUUCAAAGUGUACGUGGGUUGAAUUCAAUUGUAGCUCAGAUUUACAUGAUCAAUGGGAAAUAAAUAAAACAGAAAUCAAGAGAAUCAAUGAAAAUUGUUCAUGAACUAAUUAAAUGUUGAACUCCAACUGAAAACAAAAGUACCUGCUUUAUCACCGAUAACCUAAAAUGUACUGUCAAGUAAAAACAUAAUUCCCAAUAUAGUGUACUACUUUUGACCAGGGCCCAUUGGCCUAAAAAGUAGUGCAAAAUGGUUGCGUUUAGACAGGCAGCCCAAUUCUGAUAUUUUGCCCAAUUAUUGGCAAAAGACCAGAAUUGGCUUGCCUGUGGGAAUGCAGCUUUUGUAGUGAAUAGAGUGCCAUUUGGGACUCAGUCGGGGACUUCAUUGGUGCCCAUUACCACUGGGGUGCCAGAUUUGACAUACAGCUGUAGCCUCUCAAUUAGAGCCACACUGAUGACUGUUGUAAUCUCCUAAAUAAUGUCCGAGCCCUAUAUAAAUCUACCUGAACAAACCAAAUUCCUCUACCAUAAUGAGAAAUUCAAAUAAGCCAUUUGUUAAGGCUAAAGGGGGAGCGAUCAAGGAUAAAUUCCAGAUCAUUUAUGUAACCUUUUACUUUGCUCAGGUAAGAGUCCAUUUCACCUAUGCUUGUGCUAGCAAGCUGCCUUAAGUCAGUGCCAUCACAGACUGACUUACAGCACAAUAAAGACCUUUGCAUAGAGUGCCCAUUGGACCUUUAUUAUUUGUCAGUGCUCUUGAAGUCUCUUUGCCUCUUCAGUCCAGGGUGCACGGUGCCGUUGUGAAUGUCAGGCUCCACUCAGAGGCACAUCGAUCUGCAGGUUGAACAUGGUGAGAUUGUAGACUCCUAAAUUGAUAAUUCAGUUUUAGGCGAUAUUACAGUUAACUAGUUCCUUCACAUGGUGAUAUUGACUUGUAAUUAUUGUGUGUCGCUACAUUUACUAGCUAUCUAGCUAGCCCAAAGAGAUAAUUGCAUUGUGGGUUUUGUAGUAGACUUGAGCUGCAACAGAUUUCCACAAUGAUUUUCACAUUGCUACCAACCUUAUAAACAACAAAUUUGUGUGUGUGUGUGACUACAAUCAAUUAGUCUCUGCCCUAGGGAUGAACAGGAAUAAAAGUACAGUAAACAAAACAUCUGGAACACUUUUCUUCAAUAUAUCAUUUUAUUUAAAAUAACAUUACAAUUUAUUACUCUACAUUACAUUUUCAAACCAGUUUUUCCUUUUUACAUUGGUUAGUAAACCUUCAUAUAUUCUAAGAAAAAAAAAAAAAACUUCCCAUUUGAGUUUCAGUAUCGGUUGUUAAUUCGUGUCCGUAGUUUGAGUAAAUGAAACACUGCUUUACUUCCAGAACUUGACUUAAUGUAUAUUUAAGUUAGCUUUUGCGUCGCCAAAUACCCUACACAAAAUAACUGACCAACAGUGGUGCUAGCACACAACACUGAUUUCCCACAACUUGAAUAAUUUGAUGAAAUAAUUUAUACGUUUUCAAUCGAGAGAAAGUGCAUUUUUAUCCAAAUUACAAUUUUGCAAUAAUUUACAUUUAGAAGAAACAAGUCUUGUUUUUAAUGUGCCUAUACUUGCAAUCGAACAAAAGCCCUGCUCACCUGAAGCAUAAGGUACAGAAAUAAAAUGUUUUAACUACAAAGGCCUACCAUGUUAUUCUUUUAGAACAUCUAGCUCAUAUGGAAAAAAAGUGUGUGAUGUCCUUUAUCGCUGGGGUGUGUUCAGAACAUUUUGGAACGGUCAGAUUAAAAUACAGCUUGUAGAACAAACACCCCUCUCUGACAUGCAGAAUAAGUGACCAGCUCAAGUUCGACAUUGUUUGGCUACUGAAAGUAGCCCAGGAGUGGCGUUGUUCCGUUCAAAAGGGUGGUGUAACUGGACUACAACAGUGUCAAGCUGCUAUCAGAGGAGGACACUGACCUUUUAAUAAUACUGCAACAAAAAAGGUACAGGACUGACUGACCUUUAAAAUCCAUUUGAUAGGGGAGAUAUGAUAAUUCUCUUAAAAGGGACAUUAUAGAGAAAGCAAAGUAUGUGUAGGUGACUAGCGUAAUUGGUCACUCGGAGCAAAUUAGGGAAAGACAUCUUCGUAUCACUGGCAUCUUGCCGGCUCCUGCUCGCUGUUACCAUGACGAUGGAACACUGAUGACAAGGACACCCCACUCUACAUACAAGUGUGCACCUGUGUAUUUGUAUGCGUGUCUGUGCCUCUGUAUUCCCAGGGUAUAAAAGCUAAGAGAGCACCUGCUUCAGCCUAGAAAUGUACACCGAAGUCUGUCAAAUGCUUUAGCUCAAGGACACAUACCAUUAUGAUGACAAACAUUAAAGAACAUUAACAUGAAUAUGUUAUAAGUGUGAGUGAGUCAGUUACGUGGUCUGGGGCGAUGUUAGACUGGGCAUGCUCAGACAGCGUAGUGCUGCCAAGGCAACCACAUCUAGUCUGAUGGCAGACCAACCUGGAGUGGAGGAAUGGAACACUGGCACACUGAAAGGAGGCGCGCACACGCUAGUUGUCGCUCUCCCCUCUCUCAAAACGACACACACGUUCUGGUAGAGCAUCUGCUAUCUUUAUGUCAUCCAUCUCUAAAUUGGCUAUUACUCUGGCUGUCAAAACGAAUAGGCAGCACCUCAAUUGCACAUCUUCAGCACUUCUUUCAGAAUGCAGCAGUGGCAUUUAUAACGGACAUGCUAGUGUAUCGUUUUGUCAUUGCCAAUUCUCCUUUCGGGAGGCAAGAGUGCAGAACCAUGCAAUUAAGAAUGGUACAGUUUUACACCUGUCAAACUUCAGUAAUAGCCUUCAUUUCAACAUAGUUGAGGCAUGGAAGGGAUGUGGGCUAACCUUAUACAGCCUGAAAAGGCUGCAAGGCAUAGGUCGCUAGGGGAGGGAAAAUGUCACCCAUCCAUCUCUAUCUGCACAGCUGUCACCCUGCAUAACCCCCUCUGGGUUGCAUCCCAAAUGGCACCCUACUACCUAUGUAGCCCUAUGGGCCCCGGCCAAGAGAAGUGCACUUCCUUGGGAAUAGGGUGCCAUUUGAGAUGCCGCCUUGAGUCUUUAUCUGCUGCCUCAAAACCUAAAC